rnacentral:rRNA from 1 species
AUUGAACGCUGGCGGCAGGCCUAACACAUGCAAGUCGAACGGUAGCACAGAGAGCUUGCUCUCGGGUGACGAGUGGCGGACGGGUGAGUAAUGUCUGGGAAACUGCCUGAUGGAGGGGGAUAACUACUGGAAACGGUAGCUAAUACCGCAUAACGUCGCAAGACCAAAGAGGGGGACCUUCGGGCCUCUUGCCAUCAGAUGUGCCCAGAUGGGAUUAGCUAGUAGGUGGGGUAACGGCUCACCUAGGCGACGAUCCCUAGCUGGUCUGAGAGGAUGACCAGCCACACUGGAACUGAGACACGGUCCAGACUCCUACGGGAGGCAGCAGUGGGGAAUAUUGCACAAUGGGCGCAAGCCUGAUGCAGCCAUGCCGCGUGUAUGAAGAAGGCCUUCGGGUUGUAAAGUACUUUCAGCAGGGAGGAAGGUGUUGUGGUUAAUAACCGCAGCAAUUGACGUACC